AGCUCCAAUAGCGUAUAUUAAAGUUGUUGCAGUUAAAAAGCUCGUAGUCUGAGUCUUGGCUGGCGGUGCGCGUCUUGUGGCUUUCCUUUUUGGGGGUCACACGUAUGCAUUAUCCGUUUUGGCCGAUUUUGUACUUCGGAGGAACGCGUGUGCUUUUCAUUAAGUGCGCGAUUCGGGAUUCCGAUAGUUUACUUUGAGAAAAAUAGAGUGUUCAAAGCAGGCGUUUUUUGCCAACUUUUGAAUACAUUAGCAUGGGAUAAUGGAAUAGGACAUUGGUUUUUCCUAUUUUGUUGGUUUACGGACCGAUGUAAUGAUUAACAGGAACAGUUGGGGACAUUUAUAUUCCAUGGCUAGAGGUGAAAUUCUUGGAUUCAUGGAAGAUAAACUACUGCGAAAGCAUUUGUCAAAGAUGUUUUCA
rnacentral:rRNA from 1 species